UNGAUGCAGUUGUGCCUGAUAGGAGGC
rnacentral:piRNA from 1 species